AUUGAACGCUGGCGGCAUGCCUUACACAUGCAAGUCGAACGGUAACAGGUCUUUCGGGAUGCUGACGAGUGGCGAACGGGUGAGUAAUACAUCGGAACGUGCCUAGUAGUGGGGGAUAACUACUCGAAAGAGUGGCUAAUACCGCAUGAGAUCUAUGGAUGAAAGCAGGGGACCUUCGGGCCUUGUGCUACUAGAGCGGCCGAUGGCAGAUUAGGUAGUUGGUGGGAUAAAAGCUUACCAAGCCUACGAUCUGUAGCUGGUCUGAGAGGACGAUCAGCCACACUGGGACUGAGACACGGCCCAGACUCCUACGGGAGGCAGCAGUGGGGAAUUUUGGACAAUGGGCGCAAGCCUGAUCCAGCAAUGCCGCGUGCAGGAUGAAGGCCUUCGGGUUGUAAACUGCUUUUGUACGGAACGAAAAGUCUUGGGGUUAAUACCCUGGGAUCAUGACGGUACCGUA
rnacentral:rRNA from 1 species